GCCCAAGAUCAAAAUGAACCAGAAGAGAAACAUCAGGAACAGUUAUGUGAGGAAACAUUGGAGAUGCACACGAUUCUGAAUGUUACAUCCAUUCUGCUGAAUUUUGUGCUGAUUAUCGCAAUAAUAGGUCUGUUAAUGCUCAAACUUAAGAAGCCUAGAAAAAGUCGACAACAAGCCCAGAAUGUCCAACCAGAACAGAUCGAGGACUUAAACAACACACAGUAUUCUGAAAUCGAGUUACCCACAUGUUCCCGAAGAGAAAAUCCUAUUUAGAUAAACGGCACUUACGCACUUCUUCAGAAUACAAAGCCACGUUCUGGAUCAACACAUGCUGAAAUCAUCACAUCGUGAAACAUGCAAAGUUUAUAAUAAGGUCUGACACCUUCCCUGGGUGUAUCAUUUUCGGUAUGAGUGAGUUUUAUAAAGGUCAAUGUAUUUCUGUCACUCUUUGAAUGAAACCAUGUUAUUCGCUUAUUUAUAAAAUGCAUAAUUUGGAUGUUAUAAAGACAUUUUAACAUAUCUAUCUUGAUUAACGUGGUUACGGUUUACAAUAAGGUUCAAUGCAUUAACAUUAAAUUACAAUGGAAAAUACUUAUUAAUCCUGGUUAAUGUUUAUUCAUGUUAAUAAACUUAACUAUUAUGAAGUAUAUUAUAUAAGUUUUAUUGUAUUGAUUGUUAUUGAUUUUAUGUGGUUAACCAUGCUGGAUUAGGAUGAUGUAGUUGGUCCCCAGACUGGCCAAAAUGGUGUUUAGCUGGUUUCCCAAAUCUGGACAGCCAACAAAUACCCAAAACACAUCAAAAACCAUCAAACUAGGUCAGAAAACUUGUUUUAAGAGAUAG